rnacentral:ribozyme from 1 species
AAAAGGGUAUCAUGUUAUACAACAUGAGUAAGCACAUGAUGAAAGACAGGUCAAUUGAUCUUUCUUAUUUUUCUCUUCUAUUUUAUUAUCUCCUUUUCUCUUC